CCCCCCCCCCCGAGAAGACCGUGAGGAGCUCUGCAGAGGGUCCCCGAGGGACUCGCAGGAACAGCGAAUGCCCAGGACGGGGCCUCGCGGUUUGUCCCCCACUGUGACACUCCCCAGAAGCUGAAUGGCUGCUGGCCCAGCCAAAGCCUGCAAGGUCUGACCAGCACAAGGAUGUACAAGAAGCUCCACAGCUCAGAGCACCAACUCUGCUGUAGAAACCAUCAGUGAAUAAAAUGAAUUUUCAAAACCGUUA